GUGUGGGUUUUUGGAUCACACUAUCAGGUAAAGGGAUUUUCUGACAUUAUGAAAUGUUAUACAGUUAUAAUUGUGUAUUGUUAAUGGUCUUUAUGUGUUAUUUAUAUGUAUAUUUUUUUUAUUGAUUUCAGUGAAAGAAACAUUUUGUCAAGAUAUUGUCACUCAGACACCCACUGUGCAUACGACACGUGAAGGACAGCUUGUGACUUUCCACUGUAGCUAUGAAACUAAGCUCAAUCUAUAUGUAUUCUGGUAUAAACAGAAUAAUGGCCAGUCCUUGCAAUAUUUGGCACGGGGUGAUUAUGCUCGUACUGAAUAUGUACCAAAGGAAUAUAAGAAGAAAUUUUCUAUGAAGAUGUUUACAAACAACAAGACAUCAACC